rnacentral:tRNA from 1 species
GCCGGAGUAGCUCAGAUGGUCAGAGCAGCCGCCUUGUAAGCGGCAGGUCAGGGGUUCGAAUCCCCUCUCCGGCU